AAUCAACACUCCACUCAGACAAUGCCCAGACCUCCAGAAACCAUGUGUCAAGCUCGGAUUGCCUUAGACAGAAGCUCACCCAGCUGGAACUCUUAUGGGACCUUGGCACCAGAGACCACAAAUUCCUCUUUGAAGUUUUCUAACAGCAACAAUGGUAUUUCUGACUUGGCUUUCUUGUAUUUCUCUCACGUUAACAAAAUUGGUUCAGCAUCUACCAUGGGCUACAUGCUGAGCUACAGGAAAAACGGAGCCCGAGCAGCUAAGGAUCUUGCCCACGGUCACUGAAUUAGCAAUGCUUGUGAUGAACAUUCCCAAAGCUUUUAUGAGCUCUACGAUCUGGAAUAGGUCUCUUUGUGAUCUGUUCUCCUACUUGCUAAAUAUAUGAAAUAUUAAACUUCAUAAUCACAAA
rnacentral:lncRNA from 1 species